GAAAAACACACACGCGUACACACUCUUUCGCCAUCCCCACUAGUUGAUGGGUGGGUACUAUAAACGGGAUAACUUCCUGAAUCAUACAUAGGAUAACCACUAAACCCCAAUUAAUUACAAGACACAAAAGCAACUAAAAUUGCAAUUACUACGUCUUAAUCUCAAACUAGUUUAAUUAGCUUUACAAAUCCAGAAUACUAAUUUGGUUCACAAUUUAACAUAAUAGAAAGAAAUAUGCAGACCCAUUUAGGAACAAUACAAACUAUACAAAAAUUUAAAGAAGAUCAGAAGUAAAAAGAAACAAAUAAAACCCAGAAAGCUGAAAGAAAAUUUUAUUUUACUAGAUGACAGAAUAGCAGACACCCAUAAUUGUUUUUUUUUUCAACAAAAAAAAAAGAGAAAGAAAAAAAUUAUUUGGAAAAAGGAAGAAAGAGAACGAGGGUAUUACCUAGGAUGAAUUAGUGAGAAACACAGGGAACUGGUUGUCGUUCGUACGGGGAAUCCACGUAUCAAGUGUAUUUUUGUUCAAAUCUUGAAACUGCCUUUC
rnacentral:lncRNA from 1 species